AGGGCGCGGUGGUGAGCGUA
rnacentral:miRNA from 1 species